CACGUAGGCACCAAGCGUUGUCCGGAUUUAUUGGGCGUAAAGAGCUCGUAGGCGGUUCAGUAAGUCGGAUGUGAAAUCCCUCGGCUCAACUGAGGAAGUGCAUCCGAAACUGGCAGGCUUGAGUACUAAAGAGGGUCGCGGAAUUCCCGGUGUAGAGGUGAAAUUCGUAGAUAUCGGGAGGAACACCGGUGGCGAAGGCGGCGACCUGGGUAGAUACUGACGCUGAGGUGCGAAAGCGUGGGGAGCAAACAGG
rnacentral:rRNA from 1 species